rnacentral:rRNA from 1 species
CCUACGGGUGGCAGCAGUGAGGAAUAUUGGUCAAUGGACGAGAGUCUGAACCAGCCAAGUAGCGUGAAGGAUGACUGCCCUAUGGGUUGUAAACUUCUUUUAUAUGGGAAUAAAAUGUUCCACGUGUGGGAUUUUGUAUGUACCAUAUGAAUAAGGAUCGGCUAACUCCGUGCCAGCAGCCGCGGUAAUACGGAGGAUCCGAGCGUUAUCCGGAUUUAUUGGGGUUAAAGGGAGCGUAGGUGGAUUGUUAAGUCAGUUGUGAAAGUUUGGGGCUCAACCGUAAAAUUGCAGUUGAAACUGGCAGUCUUGAGUACAGUAGAGGUGGGCGGAAUGCGUGGUGUAGCGGUGAAAUGCUUAGAUAUCACGAAGAACUCCGAUUGCGAAGGCAGUUCACUGGACUGCAACUGACACUGAGGCUCGAAAGUGUGGGUAUCAAACAGGAUUAGAUACCCUUGUAGUC